rnacentral:rRNA from 1 species
GAUGAACGCUAGCGGCAGGCCUAACACAUGCAAGUCGAGGGGGAAGUUACUUUCGGGUAACAGAGACCGGCGUACGGGUGCGUAACGCGUAUACAAUCUGCCUUUCACUGGGGGAUAGCCCGAAGAAAUUUGGAUUAAUACCCCAUAGUAUAGUAAUACGGCAUCGUGAUACUAUUAAAGCUUAGGUGGUGAAAGAUGAGUAUGCGUUCUAUUAGCUAGUUGGAGAGGUAACGGCUCCCCAAGGCGAUGAUAGAUAGGGGUUCUGAGAGGGAUGUCCCCCACACUGGUACUGAGAUACGGACCAGACUCCUACGGGAGGCAGCAGUGAGGAAUAUUGGACAAUGGUCGGAAGACUGAUCCAGCCAUGCCGCGUGCAGGAUGAAGGUCUUAUGGAUUGUAAACUGCUUUUGUAAGGGAAGAAUAAGAGCUACGCGUAGUUUGAUGACGUACCUACGAUAAGCUCGCA